AUCGUCGGCCUCGACGUCGUGCCGAACGCCCGCGAGGUGCUCAUCUCGCUCUACACCAAGACGCUCAAGGAGAUCCAGGCCGUGCCGGAGGGAGAGUCGUACCGGAAGGCCGUCGAGAGUUUCACCCGCCACCGGCUCCAGGUCUGCAAGGAGGAGGGGGACUGGGAGAUGAUCGAGAAGCGGAUCGCCUGCGGCCAGGUGGAGGAGUUGAUCGAGGAGGCGCAGGAUGAGCUCAAGCUCAUUGGGAAGAUGAUCGAGUGGGAUCCAUGGGGUGUUCCAGAUGACUAUGAAUGCGAGGUCGUUGAAGACAAUUCGGAGAUUCCUAAACAUGUCCCCCAUCACGUGCCACCGCCACUCCCUGAAGAGUUCCGGAAGACGCUAGAAGCAAUCACUUCUAUAAAGUCUCCAGAGGAAGGGACAACUCCUCAACCCAAGGUUUAAACUUGUGGUUUGUUUGAUGACGAUAUGUCAAUAUGCAAUGCUUUUGGUCAUGCACCUUCACUGGUUGUUGUCUUUGAUUAUGUGUUUAAUAAGU
rnacentral:misc_RNA from 1 species